AAUAGAUACCCAGGUAGUCCACGCCGUAAACGAUGGAUACUAGGUGUUCGGUGGAUUAACCCACUGAGUACCGGAGUUCACACAUUAAGUAUCCCGCCUGGGGAGUACGGUCGCAAGGCUAAAACUUAAAGGAAUUGACGGGGGCCCGCACAAGCGGUGGAGUAUGUGGUUUAAUUCGAAGCAGCGCGAAAAACCUUACCUGGCCUUGACAUCUCUUGAUAGCCGUGGAGACACGGUUUUGACUUCGGUCACAGGACGACAGGUGCUGCAUGGCUGUCGUCAGCUCGUGUUGUGAAAUGUUCGGUUAAGUCCGGCAACGAGCGCAACCCCUGUCCUUAGUUACCAGCAUUAAGUUGGGGACUCUAGGGAGACUGCCGGUGUUAAACCGGAGGAAGGCGGGGAUGACGUCAAGUCCGCAUGGCCCUUACGGCCAGGGGCUACACACGUACUACAAUGGCAGAAACAAACCGUCGCGAAACUGUAAAGUGGAGCUAAUCGGAAAAACACUGUCCCAGUCCGGAUUGAGGUCUGCAACUCGACCUCAUGAAGUUGGAAUCGCUAGU
rnacentral:rRNA from 1 species